UGAUCAAAAAUUACAAGGUUUCCAACAAAAGAAUUUUGUAUAACACCCUGAUCGACGAGGGUCGUCUGUAAGGCCAAGUUUAAGACAUAAAACGUUAAGAUUUGAAUAAUCUAUAUUGUCGGGAUUAUCAGUACAUACCUUUCAUAAAAAUGAACACCUACAUUUUGCAUUAUAUUUUACAAAAAAAAAUCGUUUCAUUGGUAUUCUAAUUGUUUUAUUAGGUUUGUUCCAACCCUUCACAUUAUCGUUCUCGAAUGGUUACGCGUAUGCGCAUGCGCAAAAUUAUGCGCAGUAACACAUUUUUCGUUACUGCGCAUACUCAUAACAAUCUGGUGAUUUUUAACAAAAUCUGGCAACUUUUGAAGCAAUUGUCUGGUGAUUUUUAGUUUUUUGACCUGGCAACCUUGAUAAUAUAUGUCAAUAUGGCUACUGGGUGUAAAAGAUAAAUGUUAUUCUAUCUGUUCUUAAUGAGUUUUAGAUAAUUUUAGUUGUAUUUCUUUGUAAUUUUGUGUUGUACAAAGAUUAAUUUAACAUUUUCUCUGGAAGUAUUAAUUUAGAAAGAUAAUAUGCUUCAAUGGUGUUGUGUUUUGAAGUGUGAAAUGCAAAGUACCUAAUUGUGAUAAAGUCAAGAUAAAGUUCACUUUUAAACUGAACUAAAUAAGGUAUCUGAGAGACAACAAUGGUUAAAUGCAAUACAAUGUACAGGUUUUACUAGCGAAAUGAAAAUUUUCCUGUCCUGUCUGCUGUAAUCAUUUUAUAUCUGGAAAACCAGCCGACUUAAUCGAUAAUAACAAUCUCCAGAUUGGGUUCCUUCAAUAAAUAUGGGCUAUAAACACAAUGAAAUAAGUUCCCCAAAAUCUAAAAUGGAGUGGUAUCAAAGGAGAAUUAAAGGAAAAAAUAUUCAUAUUGAAAUUAUUUAUAAGGCACUGGACUGUCUUAAAUUCUACAAUAAUACUAGAAUCAGCUGAGAGAAGUGGUCUACAAAAAACCAGGAAGGAAACGGAAUAUGUGGCUACGAAAGGCAAAAGAAAAGUUUACAAAGCAAAUGUGACACAUUUUUUUGAAAUAUUUAGGAAUAUUAGUAAAUUGCAUUAAAAAAAUGUAUGAAAAGAUUUUGUUCAAUAAAAAUGUUUAUAUUUA